CCCCGUUGAAACACCAGUUCUCAUAUGAUCACUACAGUUAAGCAAUGUCGAGCCUGGUUCGUACCUAGAUGAGUGACUGCUUGGAAAUACCAGGUGCU